rnacentral:misc_RNA from 1 species
UAUCCAAAGAUUUUGGAAGGAGCACAAAGUGUGUAUGUAGACAUUGAACAAAUCUCAACUUCUCCGCAACCAAUUUCAAUGAGCUUUGUAUAUCCUCUAAGGUAGCAUGAUCAAUGUCAGCGACGUUGCUUUGCAUGCUAGUGACAACAGUCCACACUGCAGCUUGAAAGGAUCUGCUCAACAACUUGUGUCUUAUAGCUUCAAUCUGAA